rnacentral:rRNA from 1 species
AUUGAACGCUGGCGGCAGGCCUAACACAUGCAAGUCGAACGGUAACAGGAAACAGCUUGCUGUUUCGCUGACGAGUGGCGGACGGGUGAGUAAUGUCUGUGAAACUGCCUGAUGGAGGGGGAUAACUACUGGAAACGGUAGCUAAUACCGCAUAACGUCGCAAGACCAAAGAGGGGGACCUUCGGGCCUCUUGCCAUCGGAUUUGCCCAGAUGGGAUUAGCUAGUAGGUGGGGUAACGGCUCACCUAGGCGACGAUCCCUAGCUGGUCUGAGAGGAUGACCAGCCACACUGGAACUGAGACACGGUCCAGACUCCUACGGGAGGCAGCAGUGGGGAAUAUUGCACAAUGGGCGCAAGCCUGAUGCAGCCAUGCCGCGUGUAUGAAGAAGGCCUUCGGGUUGUAAAGUACUUUCAGCGGGGAUGAAGGGAGUAAAGUUAAUACCUUGGCUCAUUGACGUUACCCGCAGAAGAAGCACCGGCUAACUCCGUG